rnacentral:rRNA from 1 species
GAUGAACGCUGGCUACGGGCUUAACACAUGCAAGUCGAGCGGAAACGACGGGGAAGCGUGCUUCGCCGGGCGGGGGCCGGCGCACGGGUGAGGAACGUGUACCCAACCUGCCUCUGACUUAGCGAUAACCCGCCGAAGGUCAGCCUAAUACCGAAUGGCAGCUGCAUCGGGCAGCCAAGGAAGAUUCAACGUUUGAGCAGGCAGGGGCGGGGUUGCGUCUGAUUAGCUUGUUGGCGGGGUAACGGUCCACCAAGGCGACGAUGGGUAGGGGUUGUGAGAGGAAGGUCCCCGACAUUGGAACUGCGACCCGGGCCACACUCCUACGGGAGGCAGCAGUGCGGAAUAUUGGUCAAUGGGCGGGAGCCUGAACCAGCCAAGUAGCGUGCAGGAUGACGGCCCUAUGGGUUGUAACCUGCUUUUAGGAGGGGAUAAAGUGAGGGACGUGUCCUUCAUUGCAGGUACCGGAUGAAUAAGGACCGGCUAAUUCCGUG